rnacentral:rRNA from 1 species
UACGUAGGGCGCAAGCGUUGUCCGGAAUUAUUGGGCGUAAAGAGCUCGUAGGCGGUUUGUCGCGUCGAAUGUGAAAACCUGGGGCUCAACUCCAGGCUUGCGGUCGAUACGGGCAGGCUCGAGUUCGGUAGGGGAGACUGGAAUUCCUGGUGUAGCGGUGAAAUGCGCAGAUAUCAGGAGGAACACCGGUGGCGAAGGCGGCUCUCUGGGACGGUACUGACGCUGAGACGCGAAAGCGUGGGGAGCGAACAGG